rnacentral:rRNA from 1 species
UUAAAUUGAAGAGUUUGAUCAUGGCUCAGAUUGAACGCUGGCGGCAGGCUUAACACAUGCAAGUCGAACGGUAACAUGAGUGCUUGCACUUGAUGACGAGUGGCGGACGGGUGAGUAAAGUAUGGGGAUCUGCCGAAUGGAAGGGGACAACAGUUGGAAACGACUGCUAAUACCGUAUAAUGUCG